GUCUCGGAUCUGCUCCUUCAGUACCUCGACCUCUUCUCGCACGGCAAACAUGAGGUGGGAUUUCACCAAGUCCUGGGCCCCAGGGACAAACCAACCAUCAGGCCCUCCAGGCCACCUCCAGGGGCCAUCUCCUACCCAGACUUCCGGAACCACUGGAGAAGACACGGAGAGACGUACAAGUUGAGGAGGAGGCGGAGGAGGAGCCCCAAGUCAGCUCUGCUACUGCCUUCUAGGUGCUCCUUGCUCUGACAGCCCAGCCUACACCCCACCCCGUGCCCCAGGGGGAUCUGUACUAAGUCCAAGGUGACCCUUGCUCGAGGCCCGGCUGUCAGAAAGGGAGCUGGGAAUUUUCCAUUUCCUGGCCAAGCUCUGAGUGCAGGAGGUGCUGACAGCUCAGGAGUUCGUGAAGGCACUUCCCCUACGCCAUUCCAGCCCUAGCGACUUGAAGGGAUGUGGGCUCUGGCAAGCCAAGCCAAGCCUUGAUCGGCCGAGUGAGGGGCUGGUACACCGGACUUCCCGGGCAAGGCUGGGGGUGUCACAAGUCCCCACGCAACUCUGUGUGAACGAGAACGCAACAGCCCCUGCCCACGACACUACUACCAUCGUUCCCCCAAACUGUCACCAUUUCCAACAUAGGCCGGGGGUGGCUCCUGGAAAUGGCACCCCUGGGGGUUGCUCAGCGCACACAACCUGAUGGAAGAAGACAGCAGGAAGGACCCUUGGGACGAGGGCGUCUCUCGAGGCUGGACUCUGCCUCGGGAGGUCAAGUGCGACAGCUUGAAUCUGAGGUCAAGAGUUGGGGACGUUCAGAUCCUGGGGAUAUUGGCCGGCUUGGCUCCCCACGUAUGCGCUGGGAGCGUUCAGAGGCUGGGCCCGAGGCCAAGAAAGUGGUACCUAUCAAUCCUGUCUACACCCUCUCCCAGACCCGAUUCUGCGGUGCCUUUGGGGGUGGGCAGGGCAGGUGUGGGCCAGGGAGGGGGAGGGGGAGGGGCUGGCGUCCGGCCCCGGUUUUUGAGCUGCCCCUGCCUGUCUUAGCAAAAGGGCAUCGUAAGGACCACUGUCCCCUCCUGCUCUCUUGGGACACGCACAUCCCAACAGGAGAGCGUGUGGCUUUAGGGUGAGACCCAGGUUCACUGACUGAGUGACCUUGGACAGCUUUCUAAAACCCUUUUCUCUUGA